ACGUUAGCGGCGGACGGGUGAGUAACACGUGGGUAACCUACCUAUAAGACUGGGAUAACUCCGGGAAACCGGGGCUAAUACCGGAUAACACAUGAAACCGCAUGGUUUCAUGAUGAAAGACGGUUUUGCUGUCACUUAUAGAUGGACCCGCGGCGUAUUAGCUAGUUGGUAAGGUAACGGCUUACCAAGGCAACGAUACGUAGCCGACCUGAGAGGGUGAUCGGCCACACUGGAACUGAGACACGGGUCCAGACUCCUACGGGAGGCAGCAGGA
rnacentral:rRNA from 1 species